rnacentral:misc_RNA from 1 species
AAGUCGUAACAAGGUUUCCGUAGGUGAACCUGCGGAAGGAUCAUUAACACGUAUCCAACGUUAAACCCCCCGUGAACCUUCAGUGCGCUCGCACUUUCUUAGAAAAGGUAGCAAUCCCUGGUAAGGACUUCUGCGUAGACUGUGCUUGAGCGUGAGGCAAGUGGCCUGGCAUUCCUCUGCUUGUUGGUGUCUGAAAGUGUCACCAGCUCUGUACGAAUGGCGCAGUCACGAUCGCUAGAGGCCGACACGGCCGGCGACCGGGUCACUGGGCGCGAGCCCCCCUCGUCACCUUUGCAUGAAAACGGGCCUGCGCUUAAUUGUGCGGCCACCAAACUCGAACAACUGUUAACAAUGGAUAUCUUGGUUCUC